ensembl:lncRNA
AUGGUAUUUUUUUGGGCUGGAGUCUAUACCCUGGAAUGGAAUGGGCUUGGGUUCUUCAGACGUCAGCAGGCUCCUCCCUUGGCUCCAGGUAAAAAGAAGCCGCACACUGAAGCUGCAAGAGCGUUUCAGAAGCUAGAAGAGAUGCGAACAACACGAUUUCAUGCCAGAGAAAAGUCUUUAUCUGGAGAAUCAGAAGUCCAGAAAGUUGAAAAGACUUGCCCAAAGCUACAGUGGAACCGAGGCUUGAACCAAGAUCUCCUGACUCCCAAGCCAGGAUAUUUCUGCUCUGCCAGGGGGCCAUUCCAUCUGAAAAGCUAAAAGCUGAGAGAGGAUAUUUCUACAUUCUAGAAAAUCACCAAGGAUAUGAAGUGAGUAAAUUUAGACUCUUCUAAAAUGCAGCAGUUUAAAAAUAACAGUACUAGGAACGAUUGUGGACAUUUGAGAGAGAUGCAUUUGUGAGGGAGAAAUAUGGUGCACACAUGGUAACCACCCCUAAGAAGCUGUACAGGCUGAGAACAGACAUUUGAUUGAAGUGUUAGGUUUUCCUUUUAUUUAUUUAUUUAACAAACUAUAUGCCAAGCUCUGUGUUAGGCUGUUGUUACAGCCUGAAUUGUGUCCCUCAAACAUUCCUAUGUUGAAACCCUAACGCCCACCUUGUCUGACUAUAACUGUAUCUGAAGACAGGGCCUUUAAAGGGAUGGUUAGGUUAAAAUGUGGCCAUCAGGGUGGGCCUAAUCCAGUUUGCCUGGUGUCCUUAAAAGAAGAGAUAAGGGCACACAAAGGCAUGUCAAGGGUGCACACAGGAAGGACCAUAUGAACACGGUGAGAAGAUAGCCAUCUGAAACUCAAGGAGACAGGCCUCAGAAGAAACUAACCCAGGCUGGGUGUGGUGCCUCACAUCUGUAAUCUCAGUACUUUGGGAGGUCAAGGCAGGUGGCUCACAAUUAGCCAGGCAUGGUGGCACAUGCCUGUAGUCCCAGCUACUCUGGAGGCUGAGGCAGGAGAAUCGCUUGAACCCGGGAGGCAGAGGUUGCAGUGAGCAGAGAUUGUGCCAUUGCACUCCAGCCUGGGAGACAGAGUGAGACUCUGUCUCAAAAAAAAGAAGGUAGUAAUCCUUUUGACAUUUUGAUCUUGGAAUUCUAUGCUCCAGAACUGUGAGAAAUAAAUUUCUGUUGGUUUAUUUUUCUUUUUAUUUUGUGCGUAAGUUUCUGUUGUUUAAGCCGCACCAUCUGCUGUAUUUCAGUAAGACAGCCCUUGCAAACGAACACAGUGCCUUAUACCUGUAAGCUCAUUAAGCCCUGUAAUAGCCUUUGAUAUAGGAACUAUGAUCUCCAUAUUACAAAUGAAGAACCUGAGGCCUAGAGAGGUUAAAAAAAUUCAUCACUGGCAAUCACAAGUGGCAGAGUUGAGAUAAUUGUAAGUGACAGAAACCUAAGGGAUUAUUCAAGGAUGUCUGGGUCCUAUCUCCCACCUCAGCAAGCGGACUUCAGGACAAACAAUCUCACACACCUCUUUGCUUAGUGUUUUUGGAACAGGUAGCUAAAGUCAUACACUAGUGUGACUAUGUGUAGGCUUAGAAAAUGAUUGAGGAAGGCACCCUUGAAUAGCAUAUAACAUAAAGGUCAGAGCACUGGACUAGGCAUCAGAACAUCUGGGGUCAAAUCUGUUUCCUGGGGCUCUUCUAAUCUCCUCAUUUAUUCUUUUCUUUUCUUAUUUUUUUUUGAGAUGGAGUCUCACUCUGUCACCCAGGCUAGACUGCAGCUCACUACAUCCUCCACCUCUCUGGUUCAAGUGAUUCUCCUGCCUUAGCCUCAUGGGUAGCUGGGAUUGCAGGCUCCCGCCACCACACCCAGCUAAUUUUUGUAUUUUUAGUAGAGAUAGGGUUUCACCAUGUUGGCCCGGCUAGUCUUGAACUCCUGACCUCAGGUGAUCCACCUGCCUCAGCCUCCCAAAGUGCUGGGAUUACAGCCAUGAACCACUACUCCUGGCCUCUUCUAAUGUAUUCUUGAGCAACUUAAUCUCUAAAUCUGUCUCGUAACCUGCAUAAAGGGAAUAAGCUGCCUCCUUCGGUGUGGCUUUAAUGACACCAACAUUUCACAGCAUCCAUCGUGCUGCAUCAAAGCUGUCUUUAGCAUCACUGAUACUUAGCAGUUUCCUUGCACAUAAGUGGCCCUCAGACAAUGUUGAAGGAGUGCAUAUGGAAGUUCUUGGCAAACUGUACAAGUGUAAGCCACUUUGAUUAACCCAAGAAAAAGCCACUCUGUUGCAUUCUUUCUUUCAGCCCUGGUCCCUAACGAAUGGAAAGAGACGAGUCAAGAAUCAAAGUUAUAUGAAAGGUCACCACCUUCUAAGGACCCACGUAGCUUCGAGGGAGAUUACAGAGCAAAGGGUCAUGACCGCCUGCUGAGGAAUAGGGUUCAGGCCCUAACCUGACAGUUUCCAUCCUUCAUCUCUCUCCUGUG